UAAAACGUAGGAGACAAACGUUAUCCGGAGUUACUGGGCGUAAAGGGCGUGCAGGCGGCUUGUUAAGUUUGGCGUGAAAGCUCCUGGCUAAACCGGGAGAGGUCGUCGGAGACUGGCAGGCUCGAGGGUGAUAGAGGCGGGUGGAAUUCCGGGUGUAGUGGUGAAAUGCGUAGAGAUCCGGAGGAACACCAGUGGCGAAGGCGACCCGCUGGGUCACACCUGACGCUGAGACGCGACAGCAUGGGGAGCGAACGGGAUUAGAAACCCCGGUAGUCCAUGCCGUAAACGAUGCCAACUCGAUGUCGGCUUCGGGAAACCGAAGUGGGUAUCUAAGCCAACGCGGUAAGUUGGCCGCCUGGGGAGUACGGUCGCAAGGCUA
rnacentral:rRNA from 1 species